rnacentral:tRNA from 2 species
GGGCUCGUGGCUUAGCCUGGAUAUAGCACUGGCCUUCUAAGUCAGUGGUCGGGGGUUCGAAUCCCCCCGAGCUCGCCA